rnacentral:rRNA from 1 species
AUUGAACGCUGGCGGCAUGCUUUACACAUGCAAGUCGAACGGUAACAGGCCGCAAGGUGCUGACGAGUGGCGAACGGGUGCGUAAUGCAUCGGAACGUGCCCAGUCGUGGGGGAUAACUACUCGAAAGAGUAGCUAAUACCGCGUACGAUCUAUGGAUGAAAGCGGGGGACCGUAAGGCCUCGCGCGAUUGGAGCGGCCGAUGUCAGAUUAGGUAGUUGGUGGGGUAAAGGCUCACCAAGCCAACGAUCUGUAGCUGGUCUGAGAGGACAACCAGCCACACUGGGACUGAGACACGGCCCAGACUCCUACGGGAGGCAGCAGUGGGGAAUUUUGGACAAUGGGCGCAAGCCCGAUCCAGCAAUGCCGCGUGCAGGAAGAAGGCCUUCGGGUUGUAAACUGCUUUUGUACGGAACGAAACGGCUCUGGUUAAUACCCGGGGCUAAUGACGGUACCGUAAGAAUAAGCACCGGCUAACUACGUG